UACAGAGGUCCCAAGCGUUGUUCGGAUUCACUGGGCGUAAAGGGUGCGUAGGUGGUGAGGUAAGUCGGAUGUGAAAUCUUCGAGCUCAACUCGGAAACUGCAUUGGAAACUACCUUGCUGGAGGAUUGGAGGGGGGACUGGAAUACUUGGUGUAGCAGUGAAAUGCGUAGAUAUCAAGUAGAACACCAGUGGCGAAGGCGAGUCCCUGGACAAUUCCUGACACUGAGGCACGAAAGCUAGGGGAGCAAACAGG
rnacentral:rRNA from 1 species